UUCCCUGUAGUUCAAUGGUAGAACGCCGUACCGCGACAUUGUUGCGUCCUCUAUGGCGCUGGGGCCGCGGGUCCCGGGGCGGUGCGGGGUCCGGGUUCGAGUCCUGGCGGGGGAG
rnacentral:tRNA from 1 species